rnacentral:rRNA from 1 species
UACGUAGGGGGCAAGCGUUAUCCGGAUUUACUGGGUGUAAAGGGAGCGUAGGUGGCAAGGUAAGUCAGAUGUGAAAACCCAGGGCUCAACUCUGGGACUGCAUUUGAAACUAUCUAGCUAGAGUGCAGGAGAGGUAAGUGGAAUUCCUAGUGUAGCGGUGAAAUGCGUAGAUAUUAGGAGGAACACCAGUGGCGAAGGCGGCUUACUGGACUGUAACUGACACUGAGGCUCGAAAGCGUGGGGAGCAAACAGG